GGAACAUAACGACGAAGAGCGAGAGGCUCCACCCGGCGAGUAGCAUGCCGCCGCCGGAGCAGGCCGCGGAUAGCCACCAUGAGCACGAGCGAACGGAUGAGCAGGUAGUGCCGGUCGUAACUUCCAGCCAUCUCCUUCUAUUACUCCAUGGAGGUGAUCGUCGUGUUUGACCUGCAGGCCAAUGUAUCUUAAUUCAUAGAGUCAAGAUGCGGUGCUGCUGGGUUUGGUACAAAUCAACCACGUCUAGCACGCAUAUAUCUCGACGGCUGAUAGGUGUGGCAUCCCAGUAGUAGUAGAAGCACGCCUCGGUGGCCGUAGCAGCUAUCGAGCGGAUAUGAAGAUGGACGCUUCAUGCUCCCAGCAACAGCAAAAGGCCUCGGAGGUGGUAGCGGCCGUCGACCAGAUAUGAAGAAGGAAGCUUUGUGCAAUCCCUGGAAAACCUCAGAUGAGCUUGAUCACGAUGGUGCUUUUCCUGCCAAUCAAGACAGCCCCUGAUGCAGGACACAUCCGUGCUUCGUUGUCAUGGCCGGUCGAUGGAGGCAUGCAUAGAGGCGAUGGAUCAAUAUGCCCGGCCGGUUGCAGCAGCGGAGGAAAAGCGGAGCGCUCAGGUAAGUGUGAUUCACGUCAAUUAGAUCUGCUAUGUGCAUACUCGACUACUAAAUAGUUAGGCUACUGACUCACAUCCAAUUAACACUGCAACAUCUGUCUCACGAUAUACAUAUCAAUCCAAGAUUGAUUGAUUAGACAUGACUCCGUACACAUGUGCAAACUGAAGAUGCAAGCUAGGCUAUUAUGCCAUGGAACCAAGCCCCUGUGCAUAGCUCUACUAAUUUAGCAAUUUGGAGUUCCUUGCUAGCUGCUCCAAGCCUGCCAGUUCGGUUCAUCAACCAUGUUUGUCCGUUGAUUGGGCUGCCAACCCCUACCGACUUAGAAAAAGCAAGGUGAUUUCUGAAGUUUGUUGGUCUUGAAAUUCGUUAAAAAACAUCGAUGGUUUUUUGCAAUUGGCGAUUUUCCAUUACUAAGCAGGGCAUGCAAUGACAGGAAUCAAAUUGAAUUGGUUUGUCUCAUCUGUAAUCUACACGAAUAUUUUUUUCUUGGUUUUCUUUUCUUUCCAAUUUAUCAAUGCAGGGAGUGUUUGAUCUCUCAGUACAAUGUGAGUGCAAAUAUUAGAUUACAAAAUUUGUCCUUUCUUUGGGGCAGCAUAAAUUUACCAUAAUUAGUUUUUCAUCAACAA